rnacentral:rRNA from 1 species
GACGUAGGGCGCGAGCGUUGUCCGGAUUUAUUGGGCGUAAAGAGCUCGUAGGCGGCUUGUCGCGUCGACUGUGAAAACUCGGGGCUCAACUCCGAGCUUGCAGUCGAUACGGGCAGGCUAGAGUUCGGUAGGGGAGACUGGAAUUCCUGGUGUAGCGGUGAAAUGCGCAGAUAUCAGGAGGAACACCGGUGGCGAAGGCGGGUCUCUGGGCCGAUACUGACGCUGAUGCGCGACAGCAUGGGGAGCAAACAGG